AGCUUUUCGAAUCCGUGCUGAGACUUCGUCAGACACCAACCCAUUAUGGUUGGUCAGACUUCCAAGAUAAGUGAAGUU
rfam:Schistosoma haematobium scaffold858_5, whole genome shotgun sequence.